CCUGACAGCUCAGUUGGUAAAGUAUCCGCCUGCAAGGCAGGAGGCCCUGGUUCAAUUCCUGGGUCGGGA
rnacentral:tRNA from 1 species